rnacentral:rRNA from 1 species
UACGAAAGGGGCUAGCGUUGUUCGGAAUUACUGGGCGUAAAGCGCACGUAGGCGGCCUUGUAAGAUGGGGGUGAAAUCCCCGGGCUCAACCCGGGAACUGCCUUCAUGACUGCAAAGCUAGAGGAUGCGAGAGGUUAGCGGAAUUCCGAGUGUAGAGGUGAAAUUCGUGGAUAUUCGGAAGAACACCAGUGGCGAAGGCGGCUAACUGGCGCAUUUCCGACGCCGAGGUGCGAAAGCGUGGGGAGCAAACAGG